UACGUAGGGUGCAGGCGUUAAUCGGAAUUACUGGGCGUAAAGCGUGCGCAGGCGGUGAUGUAAGACAGUUGUGAAAUCCCCGGGCUCAACCUGGGAACUGCAUCUGUGACUGCAUCGCUGGAGUACGGUAGAGGGGGAUGGAAUUCCGCGUGUAGCAGUGAAAUGCGUAGAUAUGCGGAGGAACACCGAUGGCGAAGGCAAUCCCCUGGACCUGUACUGACGCUCAUGCACGAAAGCGUGGGGAGCAAACAGG
rnacentral:rRNA from 1 species